rnacentral:rRNA from 1 species
UUGAACGCUGGCGGAAUGCUUUACACAUGCAAGUCGAACGGCAGCACGGGGGCAACCUUGGUGGCGAGUGGCGAACGGGUGAGUAAUGUAUCGGAACGUACCCAGUCGUGGGGGAUAACUAUCCGAAAGGAUAGCUAAUACCGCAUACGUCCUGAGGGAGAAAGCGGGGGAUCGCAAGACCUCGCGCGAUUGGAGCGGCCGAUAUCUGAUUAGCUAGUUGGUGAGGUAAAGGCUCACCAAGGCGACGAUCAGUAGCUGGUCUGAGAGGACGACCAGCCACACUGGAACUGAGACACGGUCCAGACUCCUACGGGAGGCAGCAGUGGGGAAUUUUGGACAAUGGGGGCAACCCUGAUCCAGCAAUGCCGCGUGAGUGAAGAAGGCCUUCGGGUUGUAAAGCUCUUUUGUCAGGGAAGAAACGGUGAGUUCUAAUACAGCUUGCUAAUGACGGUACCUGAAGAAUAAGCACCGGCUAACUACGU